AUUGAACGCUGGCGGCAGGCUUAACACAUGCAAGUCGAGCGGGGGAAGGUAGCUUGCUACCGGACCUAGCGGCGGACGGGUGAGUAAUGCUUAGGAAUCUGCCUAUUAGUGGGGGACAACACCUCGAAAGGGAUGCUAAUACCGCAUACGUCCUACGGGAGAAAGCAGGGGAUCUUCGGACCUUGCGCUAAUAAAUGAGCCUAAGUCGGAUUAGCUAGUUGGCGGGGUAAAGGCCUACCAAGGCGACGAUCUGUAGCGGGUCUGAGAGGAUGAUCCGCAACACUGGGACUGAGACACGGCCCAGACUCCUACGGGAGGCAGCAGUGGGGAAUAUUGGACAAUGGGAGGAACCCUGAUCCAGCCAUGCCGCGUGUGUGAAGAAGGCCUUAUGGUUGUAAAGCACUUUAAGCGAGGAGGAGGCUACUCUAGUUAAUACCUAGGGAUAGUGGACGUUACUCGCAGAAUAAGCACCGGCUAACUCUGUGCCAGCAGCCGCAGUAA
rnacentral:rRNA from 1 species